rnacentral:lncRNA from 1 species
AUUUGCUUCAAAAUUCAGUCUUGCACCAGAGAAGUACAGAAAUGCCUCACAACGCCUUCAGUGAACCUACAAUAAAAGGACUCAACUCCACCAUGCCUAGACUCACCUCCUAACAUGGAGAGAUGACUUGUAACCCACAGAGUCUGAAAAGAGGACCCCCAUGCUCACGCAGACUUGGAGGAGCUAGAAGAUGGAGAAACAACACGGACCAGGAGAAAGAGGGCUUCGCCCCCGGUACACACUGCCAUCUAGUGACUACAUUCAGGGGUGUGAUUGCCUUUUUGCAGAGGUGGAAUUGGCUACUGGCAGCAGAAUUCCUCUGGCUGAACCCCUGGCGCCCUUGCCUUUGGACUCUGCUCUCCUCUACAUCCAACAAUCUAGUUUAAGGAGCAGAAUAUACUUGGAUGAUUAACAAAUGGGAUAGCAGAAUGGAAAGUAUUAAAUUCUGUCCCAGAAGAAACCACUUUGUUUUUGUGUUUGUGAAAUGUUAUGAAACUCAUGCACUUAAAAUGUAAUAUAAAUAUUCAAGAAAAUAUGCUUCUAGUUUUAGAGAGAGUAAAGUCAAAGGCAGGAACAAGACUUAAUUUAGUUUCAUUUUAAUAACAGCAGUAAAUACUUGAUCUGAGAGUGGUAAAGAUCUCUUACUGUCCCUAUUCAACCUUUUCCUCUUCCCUCAAAGCAACCAGUUAAGGGUCAGUCUUCCAACAUAAUUGCUAGCAAUUUUAUUCAGACAAUGAAACAUCUUUCUACUGAGUGCCAGCACUAUUUACUUCAUUACUGUCUAGUGACAGCACACAUGCUGAACAGGACAGAAAACUUAGAUUCAACAUCUCGCUCCACUGUGGGUUGUGUGAUCUUUAUCUUAUUAGCAGUUUUUGCAUUUUUGCUUUAUCUCAUUGCAGGUUUGUACACUGGGAAAAACAAUAAUAUUUGCUGUGCCCAUCUCACAGUGUUAUUGUGAGCACAAGGGAGAAAACAUGGGUGAAUCCACAUUAUAAAAUUUAAUGUGAUAUGCUUCUGUUUCUUGGACAAAAUUUACAGACAUCUGCUGAUACAUUUUUUAAAGAUAAAGAGAAUCCAGCUGAAUUAGAUUCCAAUAUAUUUCUUGGAAUUAGUCACUUUGCAUUGGUAUAAAAAAGGCAAUUUCCCCAAUUCUGAAUAAAUUUUUAGAUGACCACCCUACAACAUUCCAGUUGUGAGGCAGUAAUUCCCAAUUAGUCAUAGUUAAAGGAAUACAAAAGUUUUUUGAAAUAGAAAAUUUCUAAAAAUCACUCUCUAGUCAUCGUGGAUAAUACAGAGUUGGGAAAGUAUUUGUGAUACAUCCUGUGUUCUCCCAGCUUAAAGAUGAGCAAGUUGGCCUUAUUUGUAAACUAUGAAGAGAAGAAGAAGCAUUGCCCCUUCCAGAGCAAAAGAGGUUGACUCUGAAGCACACAGGCGUCAGUCAGUAUAUUAGCUGGAUAUUGAUUCUCCCAAGGCUGACAUGAGGAGCCAGAAGAGAGGAGCGAUUUGAGGCUCAGGGAGCGGCCUGGCCGCCAAAGAAGAGGGAAGACACUGUAUUUUCCCAGUUGUGACUAGGGAGAAGAUUCAGCAUCCACAAAUUAAAGAGAGAAGUAAGGAAGGGGAGGACAGUGGUGUAAAGAGAAAGAGAGGGAAUCGCUGGGCGUGGUGGCGCACGCCUGUAAACCCAGCACUCGGGAGGCUGAGGCAGGAGGAUCUCUUUGAGUUCAAGACCAGCCUGCUGGGUUACAUAGUGAGUUCCAGGUCAGUCUCAACUACUUAGUGAGACCCUGUCUCAAAAAACAAAAUACAGGAAAAAAAAAAAAAAAGGAGGACGAGAAGGAAUAUCCGUGGGCAAUUACUUGGAAAAUAUUUUAGGUUUUGCAUCUUUAAAAACAUGUCCUAAGUGUCCAUCGACUGACAAAUAGAUAAAGAAAACAUGGAGUAUAUACAUAAUGAAACACUAGCCUUAAAAAGGGAGGAAAUCCUGGCAUUUCUAGCAGUGUGGAUGGACCUGGAGGACAUUAUGUUAAAUAAAAUAAGCCAGGCACAGAAGAAAAAGUGCUUCGUGAUUUCAACAAUAUGUGAAACCUAACAAAGUUGAAUUUAGGACAUGGAGAAUAGAAUAGUAGAAGCUGGGGGUUAGGAAGAAUAGAAAGAUGUUGGCCAAAAGGUACAAAGUUUCAAUUAGAAAGAACAAGUUUUGAGGAUCUGUCAUGCAGCAUGAUAAUUGCAGUUAAUAACAGUACGUUGUUAACAACAAUAUGUUGUAUAUGUGAAAACUACUGAGAGUAGAUUUCACAUGUUCUCACCCCAAAAAUGAUAUGUAUAGGAGCUGAUGUUCAUGUUACUUAACUUGACUUAGCCAUUCCACAAUGUACGCAUACUUAAAAACAUCACACUGUACAUGAUGGAUAUAUACAUUUAUCAAUUACAGAAAUUAAUUAUACUAAAAAAGACUAUUUAGUCUGGGAAACAGCCACCGUGAGUUCAAAGCAAGAUGCAUGUGAUAUAAAACAGAACUUGAAAGCCUCACCUUGUUCAGACAGUGGGAAGGAUAAAUUUUCAAGAAGCUUUAAUGUCUUUGCUGGAUGAACAAUUUGCGGAGGUGGAAUUUCAGAGGAAGCAAGAAGAUUAGUUUUGUACUUGACUCAGGGUAUUAAAGGUGCUCUAAAGAGAUUCAAUCAAAACCCCAUUGCAGUCCUUUCAUGCUUUUAUUAAUGUAGCAGACAUUUUUUUCUUUUUGCUCUUCAAGUUUUUCAGUGAAACUUCUCUUUGUGAAUAUUAUUAAACUUCUUGGGAUGAAGGACUUUUAAAAUACGUUGUUUGUAAAGUCCCAUUAUUCAGUUCUCUGCAGAAAGCCUUCUGCGGAGCUACCCACAGCCCUGCUUAGGACAUGGGGGCUUACGAACCACCAAGGAACUCUGACACAACUCUGGCAGGGCAACUUUGCCAAAGGGAGAGAGUUGUUUGCAGCUGUUUGUCCACCUUUACCACAGCAUCCUCUCAUCUUGCUCCUUGGUGAUGAAUAUUUUAGAGACAGGGCAUGGUGUUAGCGCCCCAAGAGAACUUUGACUCAGCCUUUCUGUUGUGCUUUCCAGAGUUCAUCUGAAGCCCUGGUCUCCCUUUGCUCUGGCUCCUCUGGGUUCCCCAGGCUCCUCCCAGCUCUCUCUGCACACUUCUGCCACGGUCCUUUUCUCACUUCUGCUGUUCACCUCAAAUGCAUCCUUAUCGCCCCUUUUGCCACAAGCUGGAACCGAAGUCUUCAGUGAUUUCUGUUUUGUUUUGUUUUGUUUUCCAGCUCUGCAUAGGCAAUAGAACAUUGCCACAUACUAUCAGCUCUAAGGUCAAGAGGAGG